rnacentral:rRNA from 1 species
UACGUAGGGGGCAAGCGUUGUCCGGAAUCAUUGGGCGUAAAGAGCGCGUAGGCGGCCCGGUAAGUCCGCUGUGAAAGUCAAGGGCUCAACCCUUGAAUGCCGGUGGAUACUGUCGGGCUAGAGUCCGGAAGAGGCGAGUGGAAUUCCUGGUGUAGCGGUGAAAUGCGCAGAUAUCAGGAGGAACACCAAUGGCGAAGGCAGCUCGCUGGGACGGUACUGACGCUGAGGCGCGAAAGCGUGGGGAGCGAACAGG